GGCCAGAGAGGCUGUGAGGGUGGCUUUGUGAGGAUGGCUUUGUGUGGCUGCACAUUGCCCUUGGCCAAGCCCCGCUGCCAGGAGAGGCAGCUCGGCUGCCAAACCUCCUGAACCCAAGUUACCUGAGCAAGCAGCCCUAUCCCCUCGCCUGCUUCUCACUGCCUCGCCUGCCUUGGGCCUGCCCGACCCAGGGGGUCACAUGCCUUGUUCCCCAUCAGUGGAGACCAGGGACAAGAAGACAGUUCUGUGGGAAGAGCCAGGAGGACCAUUUGGGAAAAUACAGGUUCCAGGUGUGUCUCCAGACCUUGAGAGUUGGUGUCUCCUGGGAAGAGGCCCUGAUGAGAUCUGGGGAGAUUCGGAUCUGAUGAGAUUCAGGAAGCCCUGGCCUCUCCGUACUUGAGGAGACGGGACACACAGGACAAGCUGCAGGCUGGUGAGCAGGUUCACCUUCUAUUUUGAAGACCCGCUUCUUCCUCAGGUACCUGAUCUUGAAAACGACCUCCCCUUUCAGGUCUUGCUUCCCCUCAACCCAGACACCGACUCGCCCAAGGGUCUUCCAGCUGGCUGAGUUGGAACCUGCAUUUUUUAACCACAAGGAAAAGAAGCCCAGAGCUACCAAGAAUAAUAUUUUAUUGACUUGGAAUGAGUUUUGGAAUCUGUAUUUUUAACAAGCUGCCCAGUGAAAACCAUUUCCUCCUCGUCGUGGCGCAGGUCCAGAGGCUGCGCCCAUCUCUCCCACGUCAACAGUCCUGUGUCCUUGGCGAAGGACUGUUCUCUCAUUCAGUGCCUUUCCUCUCUUCCUGGGCCAAAUCCCUGCUUUGCGUCUCCCUGCAGCUCAUAAAAAGCUGAAUUACCUGAGGCAGGGAAAGCCCCACCCACUGUCAUUCUCAGGGAGGAGUGGAGUCUGCAGAGGCCGCAAUGCACAGCUUCCCUAUCCCCCUCCACCCGUGUUUUCCCAGAGCAGCUCUGUUCCAGGCCCGGGGGUGUCCCUGGGCCGAGAUGGAAUCCAGCCCUGACCACCUCCCAAAGCCAACAGCCCUGAGUGAGCGUGCAGAGAAGCAAGAGCUGUUCCUGAUGCAGAGCAAAGACAUCUCCCAGUCAAGGGGGAUGAACUGAUUUGGGACAAAAGGCAGUUGUUGGCUGAGGAAGGCAGGAUCUGGGGGAGCCCUGUGCUGAGUGGAGGUGGGUGGGUGUAUUUCCUUGGCUCACAGAGGCCUCUUGUCUGGUGGGAUCAGCUCCUCCAGCCAGUUGCCACCUGGUCCAGCUUUGGGAGAUGUGGAGAAUGACUUUCGCAGUGAUUUCCACUGGGCCAUGGCAUUGAAACAGCUGCAGGAGGGGACACAGCUGGUGCCACCCCUACUCCGUCCAUUAGAGCUGCUGUGAAGGAAUGCCACCCUCCCCAUGGGGAGUGAGGGGGCCCUACUUGCUGUGGUUGGUUCCAGGGACCAUGGGAAGAGGCAAACCCCUAUUUUCAAGGGCACAAGUUGGCUUUUAUUAAAAUAAAAUUUCAUCAUCACUUAUUCCAGUGGCUCCCAAACUUGGCUAAACAUCAGGAUCACCCAGGAUGUUUGUUAAAAAAUAAAGAUUAUGGCCGGGUGCAGUGGCUCACGCCUGUAAUCCUAGCACUUUGGGAGGCCCAGGCGGGCAGAUCACUUGAGGUCAAGAAUUCGAGACCAGCCUGGCCAACAUGGGGAAAUGCUGUCUCUACUAAAAAUACAAAAAUUAGCUGGGUGUGGUGGUGCAUACCUGUAACCCCAGCUACUCGGAGGCAGAGGCAGGAGAAUUGCUUGAACUUGGGAGGCAAAGGUGGCAGUGAGUCGAGAUAGCGCCACUGCACUGCACUCCAGCCUGGGUGACAGUGCGAGACUCUUGUCUCAAAAAAAAAAAAAAAAAGAUUAAUAAAAAUAAAGAGUUUUAGAACUCA
ensembl:lncRNA LINC01819 long intergenic non-protein coding RNA 1819